GACAGAGGGGACUAGCGUUGUUCGGAAUCACUGGGCGUAAAGGGCGCGUAGGCGGCUAUAUAAGUCAGGGGUGAAAGCCUGGGGCUCAACCUCAGAAUUGCCUUUGAUACUGUAUAGCUUGAGUUUUGAAGAGGAUAGUGGAAUUCCUAGUGUAGAGGUGAAAUUCGUAGAUAUUAGGAGGAACACCAGUUGCGAAGGCGGCUAUCUGGUCAAAUACUGACGCUGAGGCGCGAAAGCGUGGGGAUCAAACAGG
rnacentral:rRNA from 1 species